UCCACAAACAUUCUGGAGCAUACAUCA
rnacentral:piRNA from 1 species